CAAACUGGAGAUGGCGACCGGCGCACGGGNGAGUAACACGUAUCCAACCUGCCGAUAACUCGGGGAUAGCCUUUCGAAAGAAAGAUUAAUACCCGAUGGCAUAAUAGAACCGCAUGGUUUGAUUAUUAAAGAAUUUCGGUUAUCGAUGGGGAUGCGUUCCAUUAGGCAGUUGGUGGGGUAACGGCCCACCAAACCUUCGAUGGAUAGGGGUUCUGAGAGGAAGGUCCCCCACAUUGGAACUGAGACACGGUCCAAACUCCUACGGGAGGCAGCAUG
rnacentral:rRNA from 1 species